UACGGGAGGCAGCAGUGGGGAAUAUUGCACAAUGGGCGCAAGCCUGAUGCAGCCAUGCCGCGUGUAUGAAGAAGGCCUUCGGGUUGUAAAGUACUUUCAGUCGUGAGGAAGGUGUUAAGGUUAAUAACCUUAGCAAUUGACGUUAGCGACAGAAGAAGCACCGGCUAACUCCGUGCCAGCAGCCGCGGUAAUACGGAGGGUGCGAGCGUUAAUCGGAAUUACUGGGCGUAAAGGGCACGCAGGCGGUUAAUUAAGUUGGAUGUGAAAUCCCCGGGCUUAACCUGGGAAUGGCAUUCAAGACUGGUUAGCUAGAGUCUUGUAGAGGGGGUUAGAAUUCCAUGUGUAGCGGUGAAAUGCGUAGAGAUGUGGAGGAAUACCGGUGGGCGAAGGCGGCCCCUGGGACAAAGGACUGACGCUCAUGUGCGAAAGCGUGGGGAGCAAACAGGGAUUAGAUAC
rnacentral:rRNA from 1 species